rnacentral:RNase_P_RNA from 1 species
UAAGAAAGUGAGAUAAUUGCAGUUCAUUUAAAAGUGAAUUGAGGAAAGUCCGAACACCUGAAAUCCGACAUAGGGUCGGAGGGAAACAAGUGGUUGCGAAAUGCAACCGGGAGCAGAUCUAAUAAAAAUUAGAUUCAAGCCCAGGGAAAGUGUCCUUUAUUGGAUAUAGGUUCAUUGAUGACAGCUGAUUCCGUGAGCCUAUGCAACAGAGACUAUACUAGCCAGUGCUUCGCACUGGAAAUUCCAAAUUACAAAACCUAAAUAUCAAACAUAUUUUGUUUGUUAUUUGUAAAUUGUAUAUUGGUACUUCCACUGCGGAGCAGUGGUGAAAGGUGAAAAGUGUCGCGUCAAACGCGAUUCUGUUUAGUAGUAAUACUAAAUAGUUGUAAACCCCACUUGGUGCAAGACCGUGUCCUUAGUAAUCUAAAUUAUUAAGGAAGAGUCGCCAGAGGUUGUUAGCAAUAACAAUCCCAGACAGAUGAUUAUCUCCAAUUUUUUCUGUUAGCGUAUCGAAAAGAUAAAAAAUAGAGAUCCGCCAUAGCUUUAGCGAAGGCGGAAUACCCUACUUCGCCCUAACGGGCUUCGCAGGGUUCUCAAUUUUGUAAUUUCGCUAUUGCUCAAACAAAAUUGGAACAGAAUUCGGCUUACGGCUUUCUUAACAG